rnacentral:lncRNA from 1 species
GAAAGAAGGAUCCGGACUGGAGAAAGAAAUCUUAGAGCUAGUGGCGCUAGGAAGGGCUGGGGAUGAAAGGGUCAUGCUGGAGUGGGAAGAGCUUUCUGGACAGGAGGGAUGACCGGCAGGAAGCUCGGCAUUUGGCAAGACAGAGAAGUUCCUGGAGCUGGCGUUUCAGAGGACUCCAGCUCUGCACAGAAAUAGGGUGAUAACUGGUGACUCUGAAAAGAAGGUGUCAGUGGUACCAGGGGCUUUGCUACUGCCUCUUGCUCAAAUGGUCUCUUCAUCUUUUCUUCCCUACAGCACCUCUCCAGAGACUACCCUUGAUCCUACAUCCCCACCUCUGUCCUCUCCUUUGCUCUCACCGGUUAUUGGCCAGUCAGGACUUCUCCGGGAUUUCUUGCGGCUGAUGCGGUGAGCAGGACUGAGCUGGGAGGGCACCAAGCAUCGGACUCUCGCGUCCCAGGCUGGGGCCRCGCGGGUUUGGGAAAGCGGAGGACUAAGCUGCAGAGCAGGGGUCAAGACUCCCGGCGGUGACAGCCGGCRCACUGCUCAUCCCACUGCUUCUUUCAUUUGAAAUUGUUGCAGGUACUUCACCUUGCUGGAAUUGAGCUUCUUUUAAUGCGAGCUUUUUCUCUACACUAGGCUUGCCUUGCUCCUCUGUAGCGGAUUCCCUGUCAGUAUGCUGUGCACCUGGUUCCCUGUUAGUAUUUACUAAAUGCUAUAUUGAAACAGGAUCCUAAGUUUAAACUCCCACCUUAUUUAAAUCCCUGUUUAGAAUUAUCAGAGUAAAUCAUAAUUUUCCUACUGGAGGUUAAUUAAUUCUUGUCCAUUGUUUUUGCUUCUAACAGCUAAGUUUUGCUAUCUGGUUUUAAUCUCGCGCUUCCUUUUAAUUAUGCUCACCUUACCCUAUAAUCAUUGCUAGGGUAAAGUAGAAAAAUGAG